rnacentral:lncRNA from 1 species
ACAGGAAGAGGCUAAGAUGGAGAAGCUAGCUGCAGUAGCUAUUGAAGCACAAAAGGUUAAGCUUGAUGAGCUAGCACGUGAAGGUAUCCAACACUACAGUGAUGGUCUAGCUGUCCAGAAGCGAGUUGAGCACCUUGCUAGUGAUAAGGAGAUGCUACAACGUAAACUGGCGUCCAUUCGAACUCAGUAUUACCAAUUUCAAGCGGCCAAUCGAAAGCCUCCUUCAACAUCCCAACAACAACCUUGACUCUAUAAAUUUUCCUUUUAGUCUCCAGUUUUUUUUUUUAUUCUCUUUUGGAUGUCGUAAUUGUAAAUCUUUUAACACUAGCAACUGUCAAACAAUUUCGUACAUGCCUUUUGAAUGCAUGCCCGUUUUGGCUUUUUAAUGCUGCA